GACGAACGCUGGCGGCGUGCUUAACACAUGCAAGUCGAACGGAAAGGCCCUGCUUUUGUUGGGUUCUCGAGUGGCGAACGGGUGAGUAACACGUGAGUAACCUGCCCUUGACUUUGGGAUAACUUCAGGAAACUGGGGCUAAUACCGGAUAGGAGCUCCUGCUGCAUGGUGGUGGUUGGAAAGUUUCGGCGGUUGGGGAUGGACUCGCGGCUUAUCAGCUUGUUGGUGGGGUAGUGGCUUACCAAGGCUUUGACGGGUAGCCGGCCUGAGAGGGUGACCGGCCACAUUGGGACUGAGAUACGGCCCAGACUCCUACGGGAGGCAGCAGUGGGGAAUAUUGCACAAUGGGCGGAAGCCUGAUGCAGCAACGCCGCGUGCGGGAUGACGGCCUUCGGGUUGUAAACCGCUUUCGCCUGUGACGAAGCGUGAGUGACGGUAAUGGGUAAAGAAGCACCGGCUAACUACGUG
rnacentral:rRNA from 1 species